rnacentral:rRNA from 1 species
AUGAACGCUAGCGGCAGGCUUAACACAUGCAAGUCGAGGGGCAGCACUUGUAGCAAUACAUGGUGGCGACCGGCGCAAGGGUGCGUAACGCGUGAGCAACAUGCCCGUAUCAGGGGGAUAAUCCAGGGAAACUUGGUCUAAUACCCCAUAGCAAUUAUUUGAGGCAUCUUAAAUAAUUUAAAGCUUUGGUGGAUACGGAUUGGCUCGCGUGACAUUAGCUAGAUGGUAAGGUAACGGCUUACCAUGGCUACGAUGUCUAGGGGUUCUGAGAGGAAGAUCCCCCACACUGGAACUGAGACACGGUCCAGACUCCUACGGGAGGCAGCAGUGAGGAAUAUUGGACAAUGGAUGGAAAUCUGAUCCAGCCAUGCCGCGUGCAGGAAGACGGCCCUAUGGGUUGUAAACUGCUUUUGUGUGGGAGCAAUAAGGUCUAUGCGUAGACUGAUGAGAGUACCAUACGAAUAAGCAUCGGCUAACUCCGUG